rnacentral:rRNA from 1 species
GUGAACGCUGGCGGUAGGCCUAACACAUGCAAGUCGCACGGCAGCACAGUAAGAGCUUGCCCUUACGGGUGGCGAGUGGCGGACGGGUGAGGAAUACAUCGGAAUCUACUUUUUCGUGGGGGAUAACGUAGGGAAACUUACGCUAAUACCGCAUACGACCUACGGGUGAAAGUAGGGGAUCUUCGGACCUUGCGCGAUUGAAUGAGCCGAUGUCGGAUUAGCUAGUUGGCGGGGUAAAGGCCCACCAAGGCGACGAUCCGUAGCUGGUCUGAGAGGAUGAUCAGCCACACUGGAACUGAGACACGGUCCAGACUCCUACGGGAGGCAGCAGUGGGGAAUAUUGGACAAUGGGCGCAAGCCUGAUCCAGCCAUACCGCGUGGGUGAAGAAGGCCUUCGGGUUGUAAAGCCCUUUUGUUGGGAAAGAAAAGCAGCAGGUUAAUACCCCGCUGUUCUGACGGUACCCAAAGAAUAAGCACCGGCUAACUUCGUG